rnacentral:rRNA from 1 species
AGAAUCAACGCUGGCGGCGUGCCUAACACAUGCAAGUCGAACGAGAAAGGGGAGCAAUCCCUGAGUACAGUGGCGACCGGGUGAGUAACACGUGACUAACCUACCUUCGAGUGGGGGAUAACCUCGGGAAACCGAGGCUAAUACCGCAUAACAUCGUGAGAUCAAAGCAGUAAUGCGCUGGAAGAGGGGGUCGCGGCUGAUUAGCUAGUUGGCGGGGUAAUGGCCCACCAAGGCGAAGAUCGGUA